rnacentral:rRNA from 1 species
GACGAACGCUGGCGGCGUGCUUAACACAUGCAAGUCGAACGGAAAGGCCCUGCUUUUGUGGGGUGCUCGAGUGGCGAACGGGUGAGUAACACGUGAGUAACCUGCCCUUGACUUUGGGAUAACUUCAGGAAACUGGGGCUAAUACCGGAUAGGAGCUCCUGCUGCAUGGUGGGGGUUGGAAAGUUUCGGCGGUUGGGGAUGGACUCGCGGCUUAUCAGCUUGUUGGUGGGGUAGUGGCUUACCAAGGCUUUGACGGGUAGCCGGCCUGAGAGGGUGACCGGCCACAUGGGGACGGGGAUACGGCCCAGACUCCUACGGGAGGCAGCAGUGGGGAAUAUUGCACAAGGGGCGGAAGCCUGAGGCAGCAACGCCGCGUGCGGGAUGACGGCCUUCGGGUUGUAAACCGCUUUCGCCUGUGACGAAGCGUGAGUGACGGUAAUGGGUAAAGAAGCACCGGCUAACUACGU